UCUGGCGACCGGCGCACGGUGAGUAACACGUAUCCAACCUGCCCUUUACUCGGGGAUAGCCUUUCGAAAGAAAGAUUAAUACCCGAUAGCAUAAUGAUUCUGCAUGGUUUCAUUAUUAAAGGAUUCCGGUAAAGGAUGGGGAUGCGUUCCAUUAGGUUGUUGGUGAGGUAACGGCUCACCAAGCCUUCGAUGGAUAGGGGUUCUGAGAGGAAGGUCCCCCACAUUGGAACUGAGACACGGUCCAA
rnacentral:rRNA from 1 species